rnacentral:tRNA from 1 species
AGGUCCGUAGUUUAACGGUAAAACAAUAGCCUUCAAAGCUAGAUUUAAGAGUUCAAAUCUUUUUGGACCUG